UUCCCUUUCCACCCGCAGGCUCUCGCUCGGUUCGGUGGCACCUAGAGGUGGCGGGCUGUGCAGGAGCCUCUCUCCUCCUCCUCGCCAGGCGGGCGGGCGGCGGCGGCGCAGCCUCAGCACCAGGCGCACGCGGGCCCUUUAAGAGCGACACCAGCCGAGCUGCAGUUUGACAUCAGCCGGCCGGCGAGGGCGCGCCUGGAGCCGGAGCACGUGCCAGGAUGUUUUAUUGCCGCCGCGGCUGCGGCCGGGGCCGGGAGGAUGUGUGUGUGCGUGCGUGUGUGAGUGUGUGUGCGCGCGCCCCGGGGGCAGAGAGGCGGGGGGCGGCGGCGGGCGGCGGAGCGCGGGGGCUGGUUCCUGGUCCCCAGGAGAAGCCAAGAAGAUUCCCUGCAGCCUGCCAGAGACGUGGUCGCUGCCCUGCCAAGAGCUAUCUGGGAGAGCUAUUGAAAGAGUCUUGAGACCCCAUCCAGGCUUCCACAGUGUAUUUAGUUAUCUCAUCUCCUUCAUCUGCUUCACUCUGUGGCAGCUCCACCAUCUUUCCUUGUCUUUCAUGACACUUUCAAGAGUCCUAGUCAGUUGUUUCAUAGAAUGUCCUCCACUGGGUCUGUCUGACAUUUCCUCGUGGCGAUAUUGAGGAGCUGCAUUAUUGGGAAGAACACCCAGACGUACCUGACGUUGUAUUUCACUGCCAUUAAACAUGAUCACAAGGUUAAGAUCGUUUCUCCAGGAUUGUCUAUGAUCAAGUUAUGACUUUUGUAUUUCCUAAAAGUUUUUUUGGGGUGUGCGUGUGUGAUAUUUCAAAGCAAUGCAAAUAUGCUAUUACGCUUGCACUUCUGCCUACUAAAUGUCUCAAAGGAUCUCACCUGUGGCAAUGAAUAUUGUGGCAAUCUAAAAGUCAUGUUAUUCCCCUCAUUCCUUCUACAUUUAUGAAUUGCAACUCUCCUUAAGGAGGAGUUGCAUGGUGUUACAUUGUGGUAAAGCAGAAAUAAAAAAUAACCCAUACUCUUGGAGCCUAAAUUUUAGAUGAAGAGAUAAACAAGCAAAAUAAAUAAGUGGAUUUGAUAGUAUAUUGAAUGGUGACAAGUACUGCAAAGAGAAAUCAAGGAAGGGAGGGGAGAUAGAAAGUGCCAGGAGGUGCAGAUUUAAAUUGCAUGGUUAGGGAAGGCCUUAGAAGACUUGAAGCAAAGGAGGGAGCCAGUGUGUGAAGCUUUCUCCAAAGAAGAAAUAGCAAGUACAAAGGCUCGGAGGCAGGACCGCAUCCAGCCUAAGUGCUCUAAGGAAGCCAGGCGGCCAGAGUGAUGGGUGCCAAGUGAGCAAAGUGGGAAGGGGAGUGAGAGAGAGCUGAUGCAGGCCUGGGGACAUUUUACUGACCUGGCUAUUGAUCUGAGGAAGGCAGGAGCCAUUGCAAGAUUUUGAGCAAAGAGGUCACAUGAUGUGACUUCAUAUUAUGAAAAAAUCUGCUCUGUGGUUGGCAAGGACAGAGGCAAGGAGACCCUGCUUAGGGAGCUAUGACAUCAUCCAGGUGAGAGAUGGAAGUGGGUUGGACCAGAAUGGUAGCAAAGAGGUGAUUGGAUUGUGCAUGUGUUUUGGCAGUAGAACUAACACUGCUAAGAAAGGUCUUCAGCAGCUUUGGCCACCUCUUGAACGCCCAGGGCAUCUAUCUUCUCUCUCCCACCUUGAAGUGGGGCUUCAGGAACACGAUUAAGAAGCACGGGCUGGCCACCUGGAGUCUAAGCUCUGCAGUCCCUCAUUGGAGCCUUCUUUAUCUGGGUCUACCUUCAUUUUCUCUGCACCCCCACUUCUCUCUGCCCCAGGCCCACCUCUGCCCAGACCAGCCCACCACCAUUUGCUCACAGUCUCCCACCCCUGCUCUGCCAAACAAGAUCCUUCCCCUCCUUUAAGGUUCAGCUUUGCCACCCCCAGCCCCUCUAGGAACACCUUCCCUCUUGGUUGUUGACACUAACUAGAGCAGCCGUGGGCAAACUACGGCCCGCGGGCCGCAUCCGGCCUGUUUGAAAUGAAUAAAA